UACGAAGGGGGCGAGCGUUGUUCGGAUUUACUGGGCGUAAAGCGUGUGUAGGCGGUCCACUAAGUCGGAUGUGAAAGCCCUGGGCUCAACCCAGGAAGUGCACUCGAAACUGGCGGGCUAGAGUAUCGGAGAGGUUGGUGGAAUUCUCGGUGUAGAGGUGAAAUUCGUAGAUAUCGAGAGGAACACCGGUGGCGAAGGCGGCCAACUGGACGAAUACUGACGCUGAGACACGAAAGCGUGGGGAGCAAACAGG
rnacentral:rRNA from 1 species